rnacentral:tRNA from 1 species
UCCCUGCUGGCUCAGACAGUAAAGAAUCCACCUGCAAUGCAGAAGACCCAGGUUCAAUCCCUGGGUUGGGAA